rnacentral:sRNA from 1 species
GGAUGUGAGUGCGAUCUGGCUGCAACAUCUGUCACCCCACUGAUCACCAGUGUUGAUUCGGCUGAUCUGGCUGGUUAGGUGGGUGUACCCUUCCUCCUUCCCUGCUUCAUGUGUGUCCUGCCCUAAGCUAUGCACUUGGUAGAAGAAGCCAACCACCCCUGAGAGAGGAGGACCCGCUCCUCAGUCAAGGGUAUAUGAGCAAGGGCCGGGGGCGGGGGGGGGUGAGCUCAGUGGUUCCACCACCCACCUCACAAGUGCAA